rnacentral:rRNA from 1 species
AUAAGCAAAAUAAGGGCGUAUGGGGAAUGCCUAGGCUCUCAGAGGCGAAGAAGGACGUGAUAAGCUGCGAAAAGCUACGGGGAUUGGCACACACGAAUUGAUCCGUAGAUAUCCGAAUGGGGCAACCCAGUAUGUUGAAGACAUACUAUCCAAUAUGGAGGCGAACCCGCUGAACUGAAACAUCUAAGUAGGCGGAGGAGAAGAAAACAAAAGUGAUUCCGUAAGUAGUGGCGAGCGAACGCGGAAUAGCCCAAACCAAAGUUGUUACGGCAAUUUUGGGGUUGUAGGACCACGAGAUUUCUUGCGGAUUUAAUAAGAAUUACCUGGAAAGGUAAACCGAAGAGGGUGAUAGUCCCGUAUUGGUAAGAGAAGAUAAGAAUAGUGGUAUCCUGAGUAGGUCGGGGCACGUGAAACCUUGAUUGAAACUGGCGGGACCAUCCGCUAAGGCUAAAUACUCCUGAGAGACCGAUAGUGAACCAGUACCGUGAGGGAAAGGUGAAAAGAACCGUGAAUAACGGAGUGAAACAGAUCCUGAAACCAUACGCCUACAAGCGGUCGGAGCCCCUUUGUGGGGUGACGGCGUGCCUUUUGCAUAAUGAGCCUACGAGUUACCGUUGCUGGCAAGGAUAAGUGAUUAAGUCAUGGAUCCGUAGCGAAAGCGAGUCUUAAUAGGGCGCUUAAGUCAGUAGUGGUAGACGCGAAACCGUGUGAUCUACCCAUGGGCAGGUUGAAGUUUAGGUAACACUAAAUGGAGGACCGAACCGUUUAACGCUGAAAAGUUUUCGGAUGACCUGUGGGUAGGGGUGAAAGGCCAAUCAAACUCGGAAAUAGCUCGUACUCCCCGAAAUGCAUUUAGGUGCAGCGAUGAUCGAUAGUUACUUAGAGGUAGAGCUACUGAUUGGAUGCGGGGGCUUCACCGCCUACCAAUUCCUGACAAACUCCGAAUGCUAAGUAAUGAUAAUCAUCAGUGAGGGCAUGGGUGCUAAGGUCCAUGUCCGAGAGGGAAAGAACCCAGACCAUCAGCUAAGGUCCCCAAAUGUAUGCUAAGUUGAAAAAACGCGGUUUGAUUGCCCAGACAGCUAGGAUGUUGGCUUGGAAGCAGCCAUUCAUUUAAAGAGUGCGUAACAGCUCACUAGUCGAGCGAUCGAGCAUGGAUAAUAAUCGGGCAUAAGUAUACUACCGAAGCUAUGGAUUUGCGCAUUUAGUUGCGUGAGUGGUAGGGGAGCAUUCUAACGGCGCAGAAGGUGAUUUGUGAGAAUUGCUGGAGCUUUUAGAAAAGAAAAUGUAGGCAUAAGUAACGAUAAGGGGUGCGAGAAACACCCCCGCCGUAAGACUAAGGUUUCCUCAGCUAUGCUAAUCAGCUGAGGGUUAGUCGGGACCUAAGGCACACCCGAAGGGGGACGUCGAUGGCCAACGGGUUAAUAUUCCCGUACUACUGAUAAUUGUGAUGGAGUGACACAGUGAUGAAAGCACCGCGAACUGACGGAAUAGUUCGUUGAAGCACGUACCUAUAGGUUUGAUAGUAAAAUGCGUCAGACUUGGAGAAAUGCGAUAGUACUUUGAGUCUUCGGACAACGAGAUAGUGUGCCUAAGGGCUGUCAAGAAAAGCUUCUAAACUUAGAUUAUUAGUACCCGUACCGUAAACCGACACAGGUAGUCGAGGAGAGUAUCCUAAGGCGCUCGAGAGAUUCAUGGCUAAGGAACUAGGCAAAAUAGACCUGUAACUUCGGGAGAAAGGUCGCCAGCGCAAGCUGGCCGCAGUGAAAAGGUCCAGGCGACUGUUUAUCAAAAACACAGGGCUCUGCAAAAUCGUAAGAUGACGUAUAGGGCCUGACACCUGCCCGGUGCUGGAAGGUUAAGAGGAGAUGUUAUC